rnacentral:rRNA from 1 species
GACGAACGCUGGCGGCGUGCUUAACACAUGCAAGUCGAGCGGUAAGGCCCUUUCGGGGGUACGACGAGCGGCGAACGGGUGAGUAACACGUGGGUGACCUGCCCUUAGCUCUGGGAUAAGCCUGGGAAACUGGGUCUAAUACCGGAUAUGACUCCAUGACGCAUGUUGUGGGGUGGAAAGCCUUGUGCGGCUAGGGAUGGGCCUGCGGCCUAUCAGCUUGUUGGUGGGGUGAGGCCUACCAAGGCGACGACGGGUAGCCGGCCUGAGGA